rnacentral:lncRNA from 1 species
AAAAAAAAAAAAAAAAAAAAAAAAAAAACGUUGCAUUGUGUUUUACUUAUGGGCAGACAAUGAGACAAAGAGUCCACUCUUUUACCUAUCCAAGAAAAGUCUACAGGGCCCAUAUCAACGUUCUUGUCUUUCUGUCUUCAUUUUUGUUUUUUUUUUUUUUUUUAAUAUUACUACAUUAAAAUUAAAUAAUUUAAAAAUUGAAUUAAAAAUAUAUUGGCUAAUUGAAACUAAAACUUAAAUCAAUUAUAAUGAUUAUAAAAUAAAAAAUAAACAUUAAAAUAUAUAAACUCAUUCUAUUAAAUAUUAAUUAUAAAAUUAUAUACUCGUAUUCUGAUAUAUUUUAAUUUAUUCAGCAGUCAGGUUGUGAUUCUUUCAAAAGAGUAAGUUUAGUUUCUGUUUCAAUUAAUUUCAGUUUAUUUUAAUAUUAAUGUAAAAUAAGAGCACAAGAAAAUCUAAAAGAAAAUGAAGAUUUAUAUGAUUUAUACGAUGGGUCCUCAACGGGAACAUCAACCGGUGGUGCAAAUAUCGAUUAAGGUAAAUGGAGUGAAAUUGGUAUAAGAUAAGUAAAAACUACGUGGGCUUUGAUUCCUCUAAACCCUAAGAGGAUACGUAGGCAACUUAAUUUUUUUUUUAAANNNNNNNNNNNNNNNNNNNNNNNNNNNNNNNNNNNNNNNNNNNNNNNNNNNNNNNNNNNNNNNNNNNNNNNNNNNNNNNNNNNNNNNNNNNNNNNNNNNNNNNNNNNNNNNNNNNNNNNNUUUGAACCCUCUUAUUGUGAAGUUUAGAACAUGCAUGAUAACAAAGCUUUAUUUAUUAGAAAAAGGUUUGAAAAUAUAUAUACCUAGUAGAUCUCUCUGAUAUGCAUAACCUAGACAUAUGCUUAGUUUCUGUUGAUAAUUCUAGUUGGUUAUGGCAUAGAAGACUUGGACAUGCAAGCAUGCACCUUAUUUCUAGCUGCCUAAGAAAGAUUUGGUUCGAGGUUUGCCAAAGUUGAAAUUUGAAAAAGAUCACAUUUGUUAUGUUUGUCAAUUGGGCAAAUAAACCAAAACAUCUUUCAAAUCUAAGGGCGUGGUUUCUACUUCUUGACCUUUAGAAUUACGACACCUUGAUUUAUUCAGACCUAUUACUCCUUCUAGUCUUGGAGGAAAAUUCUAAGCGUUUGUUAUUGUAGAUGAUUACUCUAGAUUCACCUGGACACUCUUCCUUAGAAAUAAGGAUGAGUCAUAUGACGUGUUUGUUCAUCUUUGCAAGAGACAAAAUGAGAAAGGAUACAACAUGUCUGCAAUUAGAAGUGAUCAUGGAGGAGAAUUUGAACAGUAGAAAUUUGAAGCUUUUUGCAACGAAUCAGGAAUCUUCCAUAACUUCUUAGCACCUAGAGCACCUUAACAAAAUGGAGUAAUGGAACGCAAGAAUAGAACACUUCAAGAAAUGGCCAGAACCAUGCUAAGUGAUUCUAAAUUACCAAAGUAUUUCUGGGUAGAAGCCAUUAAUACUGCUUGUUAUAUUCUAAACAGGGCUUCGGUAAGAUCUAAACUUAAAAAGACUCCAUAUGAGCUAUAAAAACGUAGAAAACCAAAUAUUGGUUAUUUUCAUAUUUUUGGGUGCAAAUGCUUUAUUCUAGAUAACAAGAAAAACCAUCUUGCUAAAUUUGAUGCUAAAUCUUAUGAAGGGAUUUUUCUGGGAUAUUCUAAUAAUAGUAAAGCAUAUAGAGUAAGGGUGGACAUAUUACAGUUUUGGGAACCGUAACCGGAAUCGGAACCGGAACCAGAGAUUUUCAGUUUGGUUUCGGUUCCAAAUUUCUGGAACCGAAACCGGCGGUUCCAGAAAACCGGUCGGAACCGGAUUGGAACUGCCGGUUCCCCGUCCGGUUAGAACCACCGAUUCAAACCAGUUCGAACCGGCGGUUCUAGCCGUUAUAAACUGUCAGUUGUGUUUUUUUUUUAAAAAAAAAUUUUGUUGUGAAAUCUCUUAAUUACCCCUCCCAACAGCCAUAAACGGCUACAUAACGGCUAGUUUCAAGGGUAUUUAUGGAAAAAUAAUUUUUUGGAUUUAUUAUAAAUAUCUCAUUUCAUUUAAAAAUUCAUCACAAAAAAAUCUCUACUCUCUCUACUUACUCUCUCUACAAUAUACUACACUCUACUCUAUAUUAUUUUUCUCUACUCUACAAUCUCUCUUAUUAAGUUAUUAUUCUCUCUAAUUUUUUUUAUUCAAUUUUCCAAAUUAUAUCUUAUUAUUACUCGUAUUCUGAUAUAUUUUAAUUUAUUCAGCAGUCAGGUUGUGAUUCUUUCAAAAGAGUAAGUUUAGUUUCUGUUUCAAUUAAUUUCAGUUUAUUUUAAUAUUAAUGUAAAAUAAGAGCACAAGAAAAUCUAAAAGAAAAUGAAGAUUUAUAUGAUUUAUACGAUGGGUCCUCAACGGGAACAUCAACCGGUGGUGCAAAUAUCGAUUAAGGUAAAUGGAGUGAAAUUGGUAUAAGAUAAGUAAAAACUACGUGGGCUUUGAUUCCUCUAAACCCUAAG